rnacentral:rRNA from 1 species
GUGUCAGCAGCCGCGGUAAUACGUAGGGGGCCAGCGUUGUCCGGAUUCAUUGGGCGUAAAGCGCGUGUAGGCGGCCAGAUAGGUCUGGUGUGAAAACUGGAGGCUCAACCUCCAGCCGUCAUCGGAAACCAUCUGGCUAGAGUCCGGAAGAGGAGAGUGGAAUUCCUGGUGUAGCGGUGAAAUGCGCAGAUAUCAGGAAGAACACCUAUGGCGAAGGCAGCUCUCUGGGACGGUACUGACGCUGAGACGCGAAAGCGUGGGGAGCGAACAGGAUUAGAUACCCUGGUAGUCCACGCCGUAAACGAUGGGCGCUAGGUGUGGGCGGUGUCGACUCCGUCCGUGCCGAAGCUAACGCAUUAAGCGCCCCGCCUGGGGAGUACGGCCGCAAGGCUAAA